rnacentral:tRNA from 1 species
GGAGGCGUGCCAGAGUGGUUGAAUGGGCCUGUCUUGAAAACAGGUAUCUCGAGUAAUCGGGAUCAGAGGUUCGAAUCCUCUCGCCUCCG